rnacentral:rRNA from 1 species
AGUGAAGCGGCAACAGCUCAAAUUUGAAAUCUGGCCCUUGUGGUCCGAGUUGUAAUUUGUAGAGGAUGCUUUUGGUGAGGUACCUUCCGAGUUCCCUGGAACGGGACGCCAUAGAGGGUGAGAGCCCCGUCUGGUUGGAUACCGAGCCUCUGUAAAGCUCCUUCGACGAGUCGAGUAGUUUGGGAAUGCUGCUCUAAAUGGGAGGUAUAUGUCUUCUAAAGCUAAAUAUUGGCCAGAGACCGAUAGCGCACAAGUAGAGUGAUCGAAAGAUGAAAAGCACUUUGAAAAGAGGGUUAAAUAGUACGUGAAAUUGUUGAAAGGGAAGCGCUUGUGACCAGACUUGGGCUUGGUUAAUCAUCCAGGGUUCUCCCUGGUGCACUUGGCCAGCCCAGGCCAGCAUCAGUUUGUCGCGGGGGAUAAAGGCGUCGGGAAUGUGGCUCCCCCGGGAGUGUUAUAGCCCUUCGUGUAAUACCCUGCUUUAGACUGAGGUUCGCGCAUCUGCAAGGAUGCUGGCGUAAUGGUCAUCAGCGACCCGUCUUGAAACACGGACCAAGGAGUCGUCUUCGUAUGCGAGUGUUCGGGUGUCAAACCCCUACGCGUAAUGAAAGUGAACGCAGGUGAGAGCUUCGGCGCAUCAUCGACCGAUCCUGAUGUUCUCGGAUGGAUUUGAGUAAGAGCAUACGGGGCCGGACCCGAAAGAAGGUGAACUAUGCCUGUGUAGGGUGAAGCCAGAGGAAACUCUGGUGGAGGCUCGCAGCGGUUCUGACGUGCAAAUCGAUCGUCAAAACAUGGGCAUGGGGGCGAAAGACUA